AUUGAACGCUGGCGGCAUGCUUUACACAUGCAAGUCGAACGGUAACAGGCCGUAAGGUGCUGACGAGUGGCGAACGGGUGAGUAAUGCAUCGGAACGUGCCCAGUCGUGGGGGAUAACGCAGCGAAAGCUGCGCUAAUACCGCAUACGAUCUCUGGAUGAAAGCGGGGGACCGAAAGGCCUCGCGCGAUUGGAGCGGCCGAUGUCAGAUUAGGUAGUUGGUGGGGUAAAGGCCCACCAAGCCAACGAUCUGUAGCUGGUCUGAGAGGACGACUAGCCACACUGGGACUGAGACACGGCCCAGACUCCUCCGGGAGGCAGCAGUGGGGAAUUUUGGACAAUGGGCGCAAGCCUGAUCCAGCAAUGCCGCGUGCAGGAAGAAGGCCUUCGGGUUGUAAACUGCUUUUGUACGGAACGAAACGGUCCUGGUUAAUACCUGGGGCUAAUGACGGUACCGUAAGAAUAAGCACCGGCUAACUACGUGCCAGCCGCCGCCGUAACAC
rnacentral:rRNA from 1 species